rnacentral:rRNA from 1 species
AACGAACGCUGGCGGCAUGCCUAACACAUGCAAGUCGAACGAGACCUUCGUGUCUAGUGGCGCACGGGUGCGUAACGCGUGGGAACCUGCCCUUAGGUUCGGAAUAACUCCCCGAAAGGGGUGCUAAUACCGGAUAAUUUCUUCGGACCAAAGAUUUAUCGACUUUGUAUGGGCCCGCGUUGGAUUAGCUAGUUGGUAGUGUAAAAGCCUACCAAGGCGUCGAUCCAUAGCUGGUCUGAGAGAAUGAUCAGCCACACUGGGACUGAGACACGGUCCAGACUCCUACGGGAGGGAGCAGUGGGGAAUAUUGGACAAUGGGCGAAAGCAUGAUCCAGCAAUGCCGCGUGAGUGAUGAAGGCCUUAGGGUUGUAAAGCUCUUUUACCCGGGAUGAUAAUGACAGUACCGGGAGAAUAAGCUCCGGCUAACUCCGUG